AUAUAUAUAUAUAUAUAUAUGUGUAUAUAUAUACAUAUAUAUAUAUAUAUAUAUAUAUAUAUAUAUAUAUAUUUAGUUAGAAAACGAUUGAGGAUUAAAAUUGUGAGUGGCUCGUUUGAGAAACUUGUUAAAAGCUGUAGAACACGCGCCGUUAAAUCGAGGAUAUGCGAUUUAACUAAUCUGGGAAACUGAUCUAGGAAAAGCAGAAAGAGACAGAGACAGAGUUAGAGAUAGAGAUAUAUAUAGAUAUAGAGAUGGAGUUGGAGACGGAGAUGGAGAAUGCUGGAUAAAUGGCAGCCAUCUUUGCACUGCCGCCAUUAUUAUCAGUGAAUCUCGACAAAUCCUCUUUCUUUCUCUCUCUCUUGCUCUCUCUCUCUCUCUCUCUCUCUCUCUCUCUCUGACUCUUUGACUUUCAACAUGAACGAAUAGCAAUGAGAAAGCAAACAAGAUUUUCUCUCAGUUUCGUUAAAUCGUCUACGUAAAUGCAUAAAAUAAUUUCUAUUGAGAACAAUUAAUUCCAAUAAACAUUUCUAUAUCCUUUUCUUUUCUUUCGUUUUCCUUUCUUUUUUUUUCUCUUUCUUCAUUUUUUGAUUUUUCUCUCUCGUUUAAAAAAAAAAAAAAAAAAAAAAACAAAAAAAAAAACAAAAAAAAAAAAAAAGGUAAAACCAACGUAAGCUUUGUCAUUGUCCCAAAUCUAAUUAUCUAAUUUCCAAAUUUUAUUUCUAAUCUUUCUCUCGUAGUAUAAAGGAAGAAAGAAAAAGUAAAGGAAAAAGAAAAAAUUUUGUUCGUUGAUCAGAAUUUUUUCUAUUUUUAAGAAAUGUUUCUAUUCUUUUUUUCUUUCUUUUUUUUUUUUUUUUUUUUUUUUUUUUUUUUUUUUAUCAGAAAAAAAAUAACUCGUAGAUAUAUAUACGGUGUACAUGGAAUUACGAAAGCUUAUUUUCACCAGUUUAACACAACACAAUAAUGUCUUCUUCCAUAUUUUCCGCACCCUUUCUUUUCUCCUCGCAUAUAUAUACACACACACACACACACACACACACAUAUAUAUAUAUAUAUAUAUAUAUAUUUAUACGUAUAUGGUGUAUACUCUGAAUCGAGCACAAUAUGGCGAACGCUAUACAUACAACAUACAUACAUACAUACGUGCAUAUAUUAAUACAUACGUGCAUACAUACAUACAUACGUGCAUAUAUAAAUACAUACGUGCAUACAUACAUAAAUACAUACAUAUAUGUAUACAUAAAUACAUAAUAUAAAACUGUUGCGUCGCGUUGCUUCGGCUCGAUCGAUUUUUUUUUGUACCUCUCAUGCAACAGAAGCAACGAUAUCCGAUCGAUAUGCUCUCUGUUUUACUACUCGUUUUCUUCUCACGUGACUGCCCCAUUAACGAGAAUGGGUUAGAAAGGAAUAAGGAAAGUAAAUGUGUAUUUAAAAGGAGGAAAAAGGAAAAAAGAGAGAGAGAGAGAGAGAGAGAGAGAGAGAGAGAAAAGAAAGAAAGAAAGAAAUAAGGAGGGAAGGAAGGAAGGAAGGAAUGAAAGAAAAAAGAAAAUGAAAAGAAAAGAAAACAGGAAACAGAAAAAGCAAAAGAAAAAGAAGAGUGAAGAGACUAAAAAUAACAAGACACAUUAUUACAAAGUUCAGAAUAAAGUUCACAUCAAAUACAUAGUUAUACACAAACACACACAUAUAUAUAUAUAUAUAUAUAUAUAUAUAUAUAUAUAUCGCUUUAGAAUCCAAUGUAAAUCUUCGAGGAAAGACCAUCGAUGUGUUUUCGUUCGAAUGGCUGAAAGCUUAUAUCGUGAAUGGGAUAUCUCUUCACGCAAGAGAGAAAAAGACAGAAAAAGAAAGAGAAGGGGAGAGAGAGAAAGAGAGAGAAAGAGAGAGAGACGAUUCUUACGGUCUGACACACGAGAUUGGAGCAAAAGGAUAUCGAUAAAAAGAGAAAGAGAGACAGAGAAAGAGAUGAAAGUAGAAAAGAGAAAGAAUGCUGACGAUUCUUCUCGAAAAAGUACGACGAGAAUCGGUCCCGUACGUACAUCACCAGAAGAAAGGGAGAAUAAAACCGCGGAAGAUAAAGUUGACCAUUCGUCUUUUAAAAAAAAAAAAAAAAAGCCCGUGUCUCGAUUCCCAAAGCCUAGGAAAAUCCAAAACCGAUUUUUAUACUUGCAACAAUAAUGCCGAUCUUCUAUCUUCAA